AUACCUAGCAAAAUACAUCGGUACCCACCCACGCCCACGACCGACUUUAUAUCACCCUGACACCCUAACGACGACCCGUGAGGCUGACUCUCUCUCUCUCUCCCUCCCCCCUUCCUCUCUCUCUCGGUUGCUCCUCCGGCAGGCCGCCGCCACCGCAGCUCCGUGCUCCUGCAGCCCGCCGCCACCGCCGCUCCGUGCUCCGGCAGCCUGUCGCCAUAGAAGACCGGAUCUGGCCUCCCCUACGCAGCAACGUCCAGAUCUGGCUGCUCCGGCCGCCGUGAUGCCACCGAGAUGGUGCGUAGACGGGUACCCCCCGGCCGUCGUGCUCCGGUAGUUUGUCGCCGUCGGAUCCGUACCCUCCUUCCCCAACUCUUCUGAUAAAUGGCGAUUAUCCUCUGAAUAUUUGGGACCAUUGAAAGAAAUCGCUCCUACCAAUGUUUUCUUUUUUUCUGAAUUUUUCUCAGCUUGUGAUGUAUGUUCAGUGUUAGAUUUGUGAAGGUGAAAUCUUGUUUUGUGAACUAUGGAAGAGAUUUAUGGUUCAUAUAGAACUGAUUUUUUUCCUUCUGAAAUUCAUUCAAGUGAAAGAGAAAUCUGGUUUUGUGAUAUAUGGAAGAGAUUUAUGGUUCAUAUA